ACGUUUUGUGUUACGUGUUUCGGCCGCUCGAUCUUCUUAUUUUGUUUUCUAGUCGGCACCAUCUCUCAGGCCAUUUGCAAUGUCGGCGUUUCAGCCGAUAACUCGAUCUACGAUUAUCACGAGUAUCCACACACAGACAAGCAUACGUGACAACAAUUCUGAGGGGUCGCACAACUACAUGGACUAAUUACUUGGAGUAAACCAGUUAUUUAGUAUAAGUGAUAAAUAUUAAAUUACUUCUAAUGACUGUAUCGUCGUUAGCUCGUAAAAAAUCUUUCGCCGUUCUGUAAAACGAAUUCAUAAAGAACAACAAUAAAAUUCAAAUUCUUCGUUACUUGACGAGAAGACUAAAAUAACAAUCAUGAAAAAUUUACCGCCAACCUAUGUGGAGGGAUUCCACGAUUUGGAGGCUGUGAAGAAGAUGGAAUACAGAACACUAGGAAGGACAGGACUGCAAGUCAGUAAAUUGUCGUUUGGUGGUGGACCAUUAGGCUGUCAUUACGGCAAGUAUGACGAGAACGAAGCAAUCGAAACGAUAAGACAUGCCAUUCGUCAGGGUAUUAAUUACAUAGAUACAGCGCCCUGGUAUGGUCAAGGUCAAUCAGAAGCGACCCUUGGAAAGGCGCUUAAGGGAAUACCCAGAGAGGCUUAUUAUAUAGCAACAAAGAUUGGCAGAUACGAACUGGACUUUGAAAAUAUGUUCAAUUUUACCGCUGAAAAAACAAGAAAGAGCUUCAAGAGAAGUCUGGAAUUACUCGGUUUGGAUUACGUCGACAUAAUUCAAGUUCAUGACAUUGAAUUCGCUCCUUCGUUGAACAUGAUAAUAACGCAAACCUUGCCAGAACUGUCAAGACAAGUGUCCGAAGGAAAAGCCAAGCAGAUAGGUAUCACCGGAUAUCCUGUCUCGAUCCUGAAAGAAUGCAUUGAUUUGAGUAAUAUAAAAAUAAGCUGUAUAUUAAGUUACUCACGUUUUACACUGAUAGACGACACUUUGGAACAUUACAUUCCUUUCUUCAAAGAACGUAAUAUUGGAAUUAUAUGCGCAUCCGCACCUUGCAUGGGUCUGUUGACUAAUCAUGGACCACCUGAGUGGCAUCCUGCUUCUGAAGAUACGAAAAAGAAGUGUUCGGAAGCAGCAGAGUACUGCAAGGACCACAAUGUUGAACUUGGAAAAUUAGCUGCUUGGUACUCCAUGCAAUGCAAGGAUAUUGAUACGAGUUUGAUUGGGAUACAAAAUAUGAGAGAUUUGCAAUGCAAUCUGCAGGUCGUUUACGAGGGCAUAAACGAUGACGAAAAGAAACUGCUUGAAGAAAUUAAAGAAAACUCCAGAUAUCGGAGACUCUUAAAGUGUAUCAUGUGACGUAUUGUGACAUACUCGACACUGCCAAAAUAUAUAUAAAUCGCGAGAAUACGUCUAUCGAAGUUCGAGCUUGCCGAAUCCCUAUCUGCCCUGAUGAGUUGGAAACAACCAGAAAUCAAAAUCAAGACAACUCGUUCGAUUUUUGUCGAAGAUCAAGGACAAGCAUUGGGAAGGUGUCGAACUUAAGAAGUACUGGAACGCAAUGAACAAAUAGAAAAUAUAUAUUCUCCUUUAGUGUAUAUAUCCUUUGUAUGACAAUAUUAAAUUACAAUAAAAGUUGUGAGAAAGUUUUUAGUUU